CCUACGGGUGGCAGCAGUGAGGAAUAUUGGUCAAUGGGCGAGAGCCUGAACCAGCCAAGUCGCGUGAGGGAGUACUGCCCUAUGGGUGGUAAACCUCUUUUGUCGAGGAGCAAAAGCCGGACGUGUACGGCUGUGAGAGUACCCGAAGAAAAAGCAUCGGCUAACUCCGGGCCAGCAGCCGCGGUAAUACGGAGGAUGCGAGCGUUAUCGGGAUUUAUUGGGGUAAAAGGGUGCGCAGGCGGAUUUUUAAGUCAGCGGUCAAAUCGUGGGGCUCAACCCCAUCCAGCCGUUGAAACUGGGGAUCUAGAGUGUGCGAGAGGUAUGCGGAAUGCGUGGUGUAGCGGUGAAAUGCAUAGAUAUCACGCAGAACCCCGAUUGCGAAGGCAGCAUACCGGUGCACAACUGACGCUCAGGCACGAAAGCGUGGGUAUCGAACAGGAUUAGAUACCCGAGUAGUC
rnacentral:rRNA from 1 species